GGCUGGUACGUAGGGUGGUGGUGACUUCCAACUAUCUUUUAUAUCCGAAGCCAUGAAUGAUGGUCCAAACGGCCUAAGGCGCUGGCUACGCUUGUGUCGAAAUGUGCCUAUUUUACAGAGUUGCAGACAUAUCUACCCCUAUAUACUGCCUGAUGGUUUUGAGUGAACGACAACGUCGAGCCUUCAAGAGGAUUGACAGGUUUUGUGCGAUAAUGUGCCUCAUGUCUUGUUUAUGUAUAUGUUUUCUGAAGCAAA
rnacentral:misc_RNA from 1 species